rnacentral:rRNA from 1 species
AUUGAACGCUGGCGGCAGGCCUAACACAUGCAAGUCGAAAGAGUGGCGGACGGGUGAGUAAGGUCUGGGAAACUGCCAGAUGGAGGGGGAAAACUACUGGAAACGGUAGCUAAUACCGCAUAGCAUCGGAUGGGCCGAGAUGGGAUUAGCUAGGAGGUGGGGUAACGGCUCACCUAGGCGACGAUCCCUAGCUGGUCUGAGAGGAUGACCCGCCACCCUGGAACUGAGACACGUUCCAGACUCCUACGGGAGGCAGCAGUGGGUAAUAUUGCACAAUGGGCGCAAGCCUGAUGCAGCCAUGCCGCGUGUAUGAAGAAGGCCUUCGGUUUGUAAAGUACUUUCAGCGAGGAGGCGUUACUCGCAGAAGAAGCACCGGCUAACUCCGUGCCAGCCGCCGCGGUAAUUC